GUGACUGUGAGCAUCUACUUCUAUA
rnacentral:misc_RNA from 1 species